CCAGGAGCCAUUUAGAAAACUUCUAGUGGAAAACGUGACUACUAAGAAGAAAAUAAGUCUGUGCUGAGGAGGGGAAUUACUUUGCAAGUGAGUCUAUUUGGGGAAAGAGAAGAGGAGUUUGCUGCCUAUAAAAUGAGUGUCUCUGAUGACCAUGACAUGAAGGCUAAGAGUAUGGAUCAUGGUGGAGAGUGGAGGUUGAAAUCAGGACCG